rnacentral:lncRNA from 1 species
CUUGUACUUCAUUUAUUGAAUGAUAAAGACCAAUACCAUCACCACCAGCACAAAAUGCCUUAUCACUGCCCUUCAUAAAACUUAAAACUAAUCAUCAGUCACUUCAUAUCAUAUUCAUUAAACAAAUGUACUCCAAAACAUAUUGGCAAUUAUAAAAGAAAAAAAAAAGCCACUCUCUGCAUGAAACUAGUAGCCACUGACUACUGGUUGACUUGAUUUCCCGCAUAACCAAGGCCUCAUAUCUCAAAGCCAAGCAACUCUAUCAAGACACAUAUAUACACAUAUAAGAACUCGUUCUAGGUAGCCUAUAUUUAGUACCCUCCUUGAGUGUAGCUGCAACAAACAAAAAGUUAUUUAGUGAUCCGUUGUUACUAAGUAUUCAAAUUAUUUAAGAGGUGUACAAUUAUGUCCUUACCAAAAUUUGAUUUUUGUAAAUUAAUCUUAUUACGCGUCCUACUCUCUGUGGCAACACCUGUAACCAAAGCGUCAUCAUCACACAAUUUGUUGUUGCACAAUAUGAGAUGUGCUAAAAAUAAAAAAUAGUAACUCAACUAAAUAAUAAUUUACACCAAACCUAAACAACCACAAAACGGAUAAUAAAUUCAUUGCCCAAUAUUCUGCAAUAGCAACUACCUCAGACAAACUGUGACUUUGUUAAUGUCAUGGGUCAAUUUAUUUGAUUCAUCUUGUAAUCCAGGACCUAGGCUACAUUUAAUAACUAUAAGCUUACUAUCAGGCUUUUGAAAAUCUAUCAAACAUAAACCACCACAAAACGGAUAAUAAAUUCAUUGCCCUUUGUGAAGAAUGUUAUAUCUUUUCAAACUCCAAACAAAAGCAACUCAAUCAUUCAUCAGUAAAGGGCAGCGCAAACUCACAAAGUAAGCAUGAAACAUCAGGCGCAAGUAGGAAUGCAGUAAAAAUUGAAACACAAAUGCUCAACACCAAAGUCACAAUCAACAAAUUUAAACAAUCCAAACCCCAAUUAUAUAUGUACACAUAUAAGAACUAAAAUUAUAUAUGAAUGCUUACCUCUCCAGCAGUAAUAAUAGCCUUGAUAUGCUGCCCAACCCAGAAACAACAAACAGUACCAAAAUCAGUUACAAACCCAAAACCCAACCAAACAUGACAUUUUGUAAUUUUAUACUAUUGCACAUGAAAAAAGGAUUCUUAUAGUAAAACAAAAAUAUUGACAAAUGAGACUUUUUGCAACAGGAAAAGUAUAAAGAACACAUAGGGUUAACUAACCAAGAUAUCUGCAUACUGAAUGAUGGUUCUUUAUCUAUGAGAAAAGCAACUGAAACAAUAUAAAAGGCUAUCUUCUACAAAUCAAACAUGCAGCAAAAAAAAAUAAAAAAUAAUAAGCAUAAAAAUUUGUUACAUCAUAUGAUCCAAAGACCUGGAAGCAUUGAAUUUCAAAGUGCAUUCAUUAUGCCCUUAGAACUUGCUCAAUUAGAUAAACCAUUAGUGUCAAGAAACACCCCCUAGCAACAUUUAUAAAUGACCUAUAUACUUUUAGAUUCUUUUGAUAAAAAUGCUCAAUUUACAUAUAAAUGGAAAACAUGCGAAAACAAAAAAUUAGAAAAAUUGACCUUAAAAGAGUUGUGAUCAAGCUGAAUAGCUCUACGACAGUUCUCCUCAACUUUGGUCCAAUCACUACAAAACAAAGGCAACAAAAAAUUAAAGGAAAUAAAUGGUCAAUAAACUCGAACAAAAAAUUAGGAAAACUGACCUUAAAAGAGCUGUGAUUAAGCUGAAUAGCUCUACGACAGUCCUCCUCAACUUUGGUCCAAUCACUACAAAACAAAGGCAACAAAAAAUUAAAAGAAAUAAAUGGUCAAUGAACUCGAACAUCACAAAUUCCAGUCUUUCAGUAUCCAAAGGGGAAAAUAAUCAGAAAUGAAUAAGCAAAACUAUAAAGGGUACGCGGCCGUACAGAGCUUGGUUAGUUCAAUAUACAGGAACAUUAGGGCACAACGUAAUAGCCUGAAAACCCCCAAAUAAAAUAUAUAAAAACGAAUGAGAAUAAAGCAUAACGUUUCUGACACGGAAGAUUAUACACAUAACAGAUAAAGAAGAGAAAAAGAAAAAGGUACCUCCCAACACACACUAAACAAUAUCGAGCACAAAAGUAACUAAUUUCAAAUUAAGGGUUCUAACAAAAUAGGCUAAAAUUUAACAAAAAUCCAAAUAAAGAAUAAUACAAAAAGACCUACAAAUUAAGAAGAUAGCUGGGCUUCAAGCAAGUCGAAUGCAUCACGAAUAUUUGAAAGAGAUGCUUACCUUUCAAAUCUUAAGCUUCGUGUGGAUGAAAAGAAGAUUAUUCCAAUUAAUGCUUUUAGAGGAAUUGUUCGUCUUGUUACAGUUUCUGGCCCUACAUUUUACAUUGCAGUCUUUCAAACUUAGUGAGCCUUUCACUAAGAGCCUUCUGGAAAGAGGGGUGCCAGUCUCGCUGCCGGCAAGACAUGAUGCGGGUCGAGGCGGCGGCUGGGGAGGUGGAGGAGUAGGAGGAAGAAGAAGGGCCGCUGAGGGGAACAUGUAUAUGAAAAUGGAAGUAAAAUAGGGGUGAGAGUAGUGAAGAAGAGGAAGAGGAAGAGGAAGAGGAAGAAUCGGGAAUUAGAGAGGAACGAGAGGGUUAAUUGAGGAGAUGGAAGAGUGGGGAAGGCGAAGAGACGAUAUAUGAGAGGAGAAAUAACCGAGUUAACUCUUAAUUAAUUAAGAGUUGACUCGGUUGUUGGAAAUCAAAUUGGAAAAUAGAUUAAUUAAUUGAUUUUGAAAUUGAUUUUAAGGAUAGGUUCUGCUGUAUUUAUAUAUAAGAAUUGAUAUACUGUAAUAUUCUUAUUAACAAUAUGUUGUACUAAUUUACAAGCUACUCUACCAUAUUACAACAUAUUGUUACUAAGAGUAGCUUAAUCAUAUUAUAACAUAUUGUUAACAAAAAUCAUAUUACAAUAAUAUUACAAUCAUAAUACAAAAAAUUAGAAACAUUAUAGGCUACUCUACCAAUAUGGUGCAGUUUCGGUUUUAUAUGUGCGGUUUUGACUAGUAACCAAACUGGAACCAUAAAUUUAGUUUUUCAACCCACCUAAAACCGCCACAUAUGCCGGAACUGUUGGUGCGAUUUGUGGUGCAGUUUUUCGGUUUCAAUUUGGUUGCAUGCUCAGCCCUAUUACAAACACAACAAUUAUAAAAAUAAAAUAAUACAUAAAAAAAUUAUUUGUAUUGGACAACAUAUAUGGAAGUAGGGGAUUGCAAAAUUUUAGAUUUUUUGAUUUUUUAUCAAAUCGAACCGGUUCGGGAACGAUACAAGGAAUCAGUAUAUAUCGAAAAUUCGAGACCGAGUUCAUGAAGUGUUAUGGAUGGUUCGGUAUAAACCAAACUGAAUCGGUUCUACCGGUUAAUUCGCUUGAAAUAAAUAUAAACCAAGAAGAAGAAUAGUAUUGUGUAAAUCAAAAUUCGUUAUACAGAAUUAUAAUUUGAUCACAAUAAAUAAAUAUAAAUAAUAACAAUAGAAUGUACAUAACUGAACAUCAUCAUUCUUAAUCUACACAUGGGUCAAGUAAUUGAAGUACAGUAAUAACUUUAGUUAUAAAAGAAAAUAGAUUAAUACUCCCUCCGUCCCAAGAUAAAAGUCUUGAAGGACUUUUCACGCAUAUUAAGAAGAUAAAUGAAAUGACAAAAUUGCCCAUAAUAAUAUGUCAUUAAUUAUUUUCAAUGUAGUUGAGAGAGUGACUUUCUAGCUAUUCAAUUCAAAAUAUUUUCUCUCCAUACUUAUUAAAUAUGGAGAGAGAAUUAGAAUAAAAAAAGUAUGAGAUAUUUAAUGCUAUGGGUAUAAUAUGAAAAAAUGUGUAAAAGUUUGGUUAUUAAAGAAAAGUGGACAUUUAACCUGAGACUAUCCAAAAUAGUAAUAAAGACUUUUAUCAUGGGACGGAGGGAGUAAUAUAUAAAAAGAAGGCAAAAAAAAGCAAGUUGAAGUUUAGGAGAGAGAAAAAUAGUCACAUAUCUAGAGAGAAAUAAGAAAUAGAAAAGGAUGAAAACUUGUUUUCGAAUCCUACAAUCACAAAUGUUGAUGCUUCGAGGUUUGACUCCAUUUUUUAAUGUUCCUUUUGUUAUAAUCGUAAUCGGUAACUUCAUAGAGUCAAAAUCGUUGUAGAACACAUGACAUGGGUGAUCUCUGUACUUAAGGUUUUUAUCGCCCCCACCACGAUUGGUUUACUAAGAGUUGCAGAUGAUAUACCUUCAGAAUAUAUGUAAAGAAUUAUCCGUGAUAGCAAUUCGCACAAAAUUCUAAUAGAACACUAUUUUGUAGUAAUUAUUUGUUUGUAGAAAAAUUAGAGAAGAGAGAAAUCCAUGUGCAAUAUAUAUCUCUUAUAUGUAAACUUCUCUCUCUAUAUAUAUAUAUUGUAAGUUACAUUAUAACUAUUGGGUUAAAUACAGUUUUCUCACUCUACUAGGGGUCGGUUUAUAAAUACAUCAUUGAGCUGAUUUUUUUUACAAUCGAGUCAGUGAACUACAAAUAUUUAUCAAAUCGUUACAAAUUCCGUUAAAUGACUUUGACUUUUAACAUAAAAUACACAUGUAUGCCAUGAAGGAGAGAAAAUUGAAGUGGUCAGUGGUUGAGGAAAGAGAAAGCUGAUAUGGUUUUUGACUAAGAAAGGGAAAAAAAAAUUAAUUCAUCAAAUGUUUGGAUAGAUCUAAAAUAUAUUAUCAGAUCUAGGCAUUAUCAUCCUUCAUCAACAACCCAAAUUCUCAGCACAAUCCCCAUCUCUAUUUUAUCGUGAAACAUGCCACCCAGUUCUCUUAAUUUUACUUACACAGAACAUGAUCGAAGAAUACAAAGCAAUCCGACAAAAGCAAAAUUUACCUACAACAAUGGCGGAACUAAAUUAUGAUUGUUUUUUCUAUUUUUCACCUCCUUUUUGCUUCCACAAAUUGUUAUUUUUGUCGCUUGAUAUAUAGGAACAACUUCGACAAUGUCUUCGGCGUCGGAUCUAAGAUAUUUUUAUGAUGGUGAUGAGUUUUGAAGUUUCUCGAAAGCGAUUCACUCUGUUGAUAUUAGUGGUAGAGGCUUGUGAAGCACCCAAAUGAUUUUGGUACUAGGAAGGAAAUAAUUAAAGCAUGAAGAAUUGAAUCUUAAAAAAAUGAAAUGAAUUUAAUUAAAGAAACCCAAAGUAAGAAGCAGAGAGAGAGUUGCAAAGUGGGGAAAAAAAGAAGAAAAAAAACCAGAUUUGUAUACAACACCGACAUUAAACCUAUUAUAAAUUGAAUUCAAAAUUCAAUUUGUAAGAACUCAAUAAAAAUCUCCAAAUUAUAGAACCUAAAUGAAAACCCAAUAUUCACAUACAUAUAUACAUAUAGAGAGAGAAAUAAAGAGAGCUACAGAGAUCUUCCUACCUUUCAUCUUUGAAUCAGUUUUUUGAGAUUUGGAUGAUGAAAGGACUUGUUGAUGGUGGUGAUACUAGAGGGGUUGGUAGUAUCAAUUAAGAAGAAGUUAUGGCGGUGAAU